rnacentral:rRNA from 1 species
UGGGGAAUUUUGGACAAUGGGCGCAAGCCUGAUCCAGCCAUGCCGCGUGCGGGAAGAAGGCCUUCGGGUUGUAAACCGCUUUUGUCAGGGAAGAAAUCUUCUGAGUUAAUACCUCGGGAGGAUGACGGUACCUGAAGAAUAAGCACCGGCUAACUACGUGCCAGCAGCCGCGGUAAUACGUAGGGUGCAAGCGUUAAUCGGAAUUACUGGGCGUAAAGCGUGCGCAGGCGGUUUUGUAAGACAGAGGUGAAAUCCCCGGGCUCAACCUGGGAACUGCCUUUGUGACUGCAAGGCUUGAGUGGCGGCAGAGGGGGGAUGGAAUUCCGCGUGUAGCAGUGAAAUGCGUAGAUAUGCGGAGGAACACCGAUGGCGAAGGCAAUCCCCUGGGCCUGCACUGACGCUCAUGCACGAAAGCGUGGGGAGCAAACAGGAUUAGAUAGCCCUGGUAGUCCACGCCCUAAAACGAUGCCAACUGGUUGUUGGGAAGGUUCCUUCUCAGUAACGUAGCUAACGCGUGAA